rnacentral:rRNA from 1 species
AUUUUGGGGACUGCUUGCGUCUGCUAGUCGAACGGUCCUUCGGAGAAGUGGCGGACGGGUGAGUAACGGGUGAGAAUCUGCCUUCAGGUCUGGGAUAACGGAGGGAAACUUCUGCUAAUACCGGAUGUGCCGAGAGGUGAAAGGCUUGCUGCCUGAAGAUGAACUCCCGUCUGAUUAGCUAGUUGGUAGUGCAAUGGACUACCAAGGCGUUGAUCAGUAGCUGGUCUGAGAGGAUGAUCUGCCACACUGGGACUGAGACACGGACCAGACCCCUACCGGAGGCACCACUGGGAAAUUUUCCGCAAUGGGCAAAAGCCUGACUGAGCAACUGCGCGUGAGGCAGGAAGGCCUGUGGGUUGUAAACCUCUAUUCUCUACGAAGAAUAUCUGACGGUACUACAGGAAUCAGCAUCGGUUAACUCCGUGCCAGCAGCCUCGGUAAGACGGAGGAUGCAAGCGUUAUCCGGAAUUAUUGGGCGUAAAGGGUCCUAAGGUGGCUUUCUAAGUCUGCUGUUAAAUUCCAGGGCUCAACUCUGGGUAGGCGGUGGAAACUGGAGAGCUAGAGUACCGGAGGGGUAGAGGGAAUUCCUGGUGUAGCGGGGAAAUGCGUAGAUAUCAGGAAGAGGCCGGUGGCGAAGGCGCUCUACUGGGCCGUAACUGAUACUCAUGGACAAAACCUAGGGGAGCGAAAGGCAUUGGAUCCCCCUGUACUCCUACCUGCAAACGAUGGAUACUAGGUGUUGGACGUAUCCACCCGUUCGCACCGUAGCUAACGUGUUAAGUAUCCCGCCUGGGUACUGCGCCCGCAAGUGUGAAACUCAGAGGAAUUUGACGGCCGGCCGCGCAAGCGGGGGGAGUAUGUGGAUUAAAUUAGAUGCAACGCGAAGAACCCUACCCGGGGCUUUGACAUGUCCACUAUCCUCUGGUGAAGCUGGAGUGCCUCCGGUAGUUGGAACACAGGUGGUUGCAUGGCUGUGGUCAGCUCUUGUCGAGAGAUGUUGGGAUACGUGCCGCAACGAGUGUCCCCUCCUUUUUCGUUGGCCAGCUUUCUGUUUGGCCACUCUAAAGAGACUGCCUGUGAUCUAUCCGGUGGGAAGAGUGGGGGAUUGU